rnacentral:tRNA from 1 species
GCACUCGUAGCUCAGUCGGUAGAGCACCUGCCUUUUAAGCAGAGGGUCGUUGGUUCGAUUCCAACCGAGUGCA